rnacentral:tRNA from 1 species
GUUGUGGCUCAGUGGUAGAGCGCUUGCCUAGCAUGAGUAAGGCACUGGGUUUAAUUCUCAGCACUACA